CUGCCUGUCUUCCUCGCAGUACUUUCGUUUCCCAGAGAGAGUUUAUGUAAUGUGGAAAUUUUCUAUUCCUUAAAUGUUUGGUAGAAUUUACCUAUGAAGUUGUCCAGCCUUGGUAUUUUUGCCAUAUAAAAGAAUUUAAAUAUUGAUUUGGUUUCUAGAAGGAUUAGAAGCAGCUCCCACUUUCUGCUUCCAUCCUGCUACAGUUGGGCUGCAGAUACUCUGAUGCGACACGUUUGGUAUCAGCUUGCUUAGAAAAGGUUGUCUAGCUUUCCGUCUGCAUCAAUACUUGGCUGCCUUUGAAGUCUGGCUGUGUCACAGAGAUGCCUAGGAAUGGUGUCUUCAAUCAGUUCUGAAACCAUGAUCAGUAUGAUCAUAAUGAAAUGCAGCUGUCCAAGGCUCCUGGGAACACUGUUCUGGCAUUUUGGGCAGAAACAGGCAGCUGGUUAUUGCUUCUCCAUUUCCUUCUUGCUUUGCCACAGUGAAGCUGUUAGCAGUGAAGCCUAAGGCAGAGGGCAACACCUCUCCUGACCCAGGAGAACUGAAACCGGAAACUAGAAUUCAGACCUGCCCAAGACUACUUCGAAGAGCAUUGGUGACAUUAGUAUGAACUGAAUCCUCUUCUAAGGUGACUAGAGAGACAUUCCUCAAGAAAUCUGGCAUGACAUUUGACUGGGAGAUAUAACAUGUAUGUGAACUGUGUGUGCUUUCACUCAGAACUGGUUGUGAGCACUAUGACAGAAUUUCUGAAAGGCCACACCUUGCCAUGAUCAAGAGGACUCUAAGGAAGCUGAAGCUCAUGAGUAUGCUUUCUCCCUGUUGUCUCAGAGACUGGAUGGAUGAGGGAUUGAGAUCAAUCGAAAGAGUGUGGGACAAACAGCUACCUAAUUAAUCCCUUUGGCUGCUAAGUCAUUGUGAAAAAGCUAUUGCUGAUCAAAGGACUUAUAAAUAUCCAAAGCCUGUUGGAAGUUUAUAGCUCACUAAAUCUUAAGGGAAUCUCUCUUUCUAUGAGUUUCUCUUAUUACUUCUCUUCUCUUUUCCUUAUUCCUUCCUUUAAAGGGAAAAAUUGAGAUGGGCUCCUUAUGUAGUUUGGGCUGGCCUUGAACUUGUAAUCCUCCUGUCUUUGACUCCUGAGCACUAGGAUUUCUGGUGUGUGCUACCAUGUCCAGUUCCACAGAUUCAUUUUAAUAUGGCUAUGGAAUUUCUCCUUAACAUGGAAUAGAUGGACAAUAGUCAACUUUA